CCUACAAUGCCAUCACAAGGGGAUGAUGGCGCUUCUGAACUUCAACAACUUCCCAUCAUUCAUAUCGAGGAAAAUGAAGACGAAGUGAUUGAAUCUUCACUUACAUCUAUUGAUCAGACUAUGACCAAUGCGGCAACUCGCAGAAAUAGUGGAGUUGAGUUGAAGUUAGUUUUUAUUUGUCGCGAGAUACCAUGUCUUCAUCUCUAGGGUUCC